AGGGCUGACUGAGAGGCAGGAGUUGACACCUGGUCUCUCAAGGCCCCCAUCUGGCUGUGUGACCAUGGGUUCAACUUGGGAGUCAUGGUAGAUAGACAUUGCUACUUGGACCCACCUCAUCCUCCAAACUCUGGGAGAGCACCUGGCCCUUUGUCAGCAAUGAGAAAGAUGCAUUCUGGAAGGAGAACUCCCUUGUUUGAGAGCUUUGGCAAUCCUAAAUGAACAAAAAUGCAGCAUUUAAAAACAGGUCAUCUGGUGUUUCAGGUCUUAUCUGUUGCCCAGUUGGUCUGAGAAUGUGGCCCGCAGGACAGCUUAAAUGACCUAUGAUCAAGUAAU